rnacentral:rRNA from 1 species
UCGAACGGAAAACGAUGCUAGCUUGCUAGCAGGCGUCGAGUGGCGGACGGGUGAGUAAUGUAUAGGGAUCUGCCUGAUAGUGGGGGACAACGUGUGGAAACGCACGCUAAUACCGCAUACGCUCUACGGAGGAAAGCGGGGGCUCUUCGGACCUCGUGCUAUCAGAUGAACCUAUAUCAGAUUAGCUAGUUGGUGAGGUAAUGGCUCACCAAGGCGACGAUCUGUAGCUGGUUUGAGAGAAUGAUCAGCCACACUGGGACUGAGGCACGGCCCAGACUCCUACGGGAGGCAGCAGUGGGGAAUAUUGCACAAUGGAGGAAACUCUGAUGCAGCAAUGCCGCGUGUGUGAAGAAGGCCUUAGGGUUGUAAAGCACUUUCAAUAGGGAGGAAAAGUAUAAGUUUAAUACACUUAUGCCGUGACGUUACCUAUAGAAGAAGGACCGGCUAACUCCGUGCCAGCAGCCGCGGUAAUACGGAGGGUCCGAGCGUUAAUCGGAAUUACUGGGCGUAAAGCGCGCGUAGGCGGAUAGAUAGGUCAGAUGUGAAAUCCCUGGGCUCAACCUAGGAACUGCAUUUGAAACUGUCUAUCUAGAGUAUGGUAGAGGUGAGUGGAAUUUCAGGUGUAGCGGUGAAAUGCGUAGAGAUCUGAAGGAACAUCAGUGGCGAAGGCGACUCACUGGGCCAUUACUGACGCUGAGGUGCGAAAGCGUGGGUAGCAAACAGGAUUAGA